ensembl:lncRNA
AUUUAUUGGUUUGUUUGUUUGUGUUUACAUAGGGUCUCAUGUAUCCUAGGUUGGCUUUGGACUAUGUUCUAGAGAAUGACCUUUAACCUCUGAGUUCCUUUCCUCUAGCUUCCAAGUCCUAGAAUUACAGGUGUGUACCUCUAGGCUUGUUUUAUGCAUUGCUUUGAGUCAGACCCAGGGCUUUGAUCAUACUAGGUAAGCACUUUACUAAAUGAGUUACAACCUCAGGCAUGGUCUGCCUUUGUGUGGGAAGAUGGGCUUGUGGUGUUCUGUGUACUGUAGGAUUUUAGGCAUCAUUUAGAAUCCUUGACCUCAACCCACUGGGUGCCACUUCCAGGUGUGACAACCAAAAGUAUUUCUAGGUAUGUCAAUUGUCUCCUGAGAGGCAAAAAUAGCUGCCAGUAGAGAACAGACUUACAUGAUAAUUUUGUGCACUGGAAAUAUAGUAUAUCAGUGGUUCUCAACCUGUGGGUCGUGCUCCUCUGCUUUGGAGUCAGAAAUUUACAUUAUGACACAAUAGUAGCAACAUUGCAGUUAUAAAGUCGCAACAAAAAUAAUUUUAUGGUUGUGGGGGUUACCAUAACAUGAGGAACUAUAUUAAAUGGUGGCAGCACUAGGUAAGUUGAGAACCCCUUUAGUAGAUGGUCUUGAGAAUCAAAUGAAAGGCAAGUAGAAACAAAACUGAGGACGCGUAAAGUCUUAACUCAGGUGUUCUUGGUGUUUUUAAUACCCAGGAGAUUUUACCAUCCUGCCACAAAACAAUAGUCCAUCAGGAGCUCAGUGAGGAGGAAAGGGGCAUUGGAGACACUCGCCCAGGCAGGAACUGGUUGGGAUAUGACGCCCUCCAUCAGAAGAGAGUGAUUGAUUCCACAGAAGCUCCUGACACGCCCUGCCAGGCUCAGAACUGAACAAGCCUUUCUUUCCAGUCACGUGGUUAAUGCUUUUGUGCUGCACAGCUUAUUCCCUCCACAGCUUCCUCCUAAGACACAACAGGAGAGAACCAAUAAUGUUUCUGAAAGGCAGAAUGCAAAAAGUCCCCAGAUUCACAGUCUGGCAGACCCAAAAGCAAGACGGAACUCAGCUAACAUACUUGCCUUCUUCAUCAGGUUGUAACGUAUAAUUUGCAUAUAGUAACUUUCACCUGCAAGCCUGGUAUUUGGAAUUAUAUUUUCUAUAAUCUGUAAUGGAAAUUACAUUCUAUUUAAAGCCAGGAAGUGGGGAUUGUAAGCCUCCCCUCAGUCCCCCACCCUUGUCACAGUGUCUCUGAACGUUGUGUGAUCUGUAGAAUGCGAGCAUGUAAGAGCAUGUUUGGCCUGGUGGUGUAAACUUGUAAUCUCAGCUACUCUGGAGGCUGAGGUAGGAGAAUUUCAACUUCAUGGCCUGCCUGGGUAAUCUAAUGAGACUCUGUUUAAAAAAAAAAAAACAAGACUGGAAGAUAGCUUUGUGGUUCAGUAUUUCCUAGGCAUGCGCAGGGACCUAGGUUCAAUUCCCAGUACUAGGAAAAAAUAAUGAAGAACCUAAAAAAAAUCCUUUCUGUGAUACUCAUCUACAGUUUAAUGGGUCAGCAGCAAAUUCGAUUGCCUGCUACCAUGCCAGAUGACCUGAAUUCAAGUCCAGUGGCCUACCUGGUGGAAGGAGAUGCAUAAACACACACACACACACACACACACACACACACACACACACACACACACGGUGGGGGGGAAGAUGGAAGGAGGGAGGGGGAGGGAGAGGGAGAGGAAGGGAGAGGGAAAGAGGGAGAGAGAGGAGGGGGGCACACACAGACAGAAACAGACAGAGACAGGGAGACAGAGACAGACAGAAAAAAAGAAUAGGUAGUAAAUAAAACAAACUAAUCUGAAGCAAAUGUCUUCUUGAAAGACACUUGAGAACUUUGUGGUGGAAGUUUCCUGUCUAAAGGAGAAAACUCUACAGCUCAAAGUUCUUUGACAGUUGCUGCUGGAAGAAUCUCAAAGCAUAGGAAUGAGCGGUUCGCAGCCCUGUUCCUAAGCUAAACUAUGCCUCAUGCCUCACUGCUUUUGCCAGCCCUGUCUUUGAUUUGGCUCAAACACUGGGAACAGGGAGUCAGGCUUCUCAGCAAGUCCAGGCCUUCUUGGAUAGGGGCCAGAUCACUGUGAGUAAAGACUGGGCAGGCAAACAAGCUUCCGUUCUUAACAGAAACAAUCUCCUUCCGCUCUUCUUUCAACCUGAUGUCAGCUGAAAGACACCAAGAAGAAAAUGUCCACCAUUCUUCAGUUAUAGAUUUGGGGGAAGGGGGCUCUGUUUCAUCAGCAUCGAAAGAAGUGUCUGAGCAUAGUGAAAUGAACUUCUAGUUCAUUCUGCUUUUGUUGUCUCUCCUUCCCUAAAAGGACUCAAUGAGUGCUUGGAAGGAAUGGAGUGCAUACACCUCCCUGGCUAGUCUAUGGCUGAAACUGGUACAGGCCAUCAGGAUGAGGCACUGAUCUUUAAGUAUUUGGAAAUUGUUAUCCCAGUGUAAACUCCUGGCUUGAUAGCCACAGUGGCGGGAGGAGACUUAGCCUGUGGCCCUUCUCCUCCAGGUGGGCACAAAGCCUAAUUGAUAGACGUGAGAAAAGGAAGGGGAUUUCCAGGCAAAGGAUGACCUCAUUCCUUAAGUUCUGGCUAUUCAUGGCAGCUUUGGUUUUCUUUUAAUUUUUUUGAAAGUGGAUUUCCAUGAGACCCUUAGGAAUUUGAGAAAAACACAUCAAAGUCUAGAUCACUCCAGUUUGUAUGAGCCGGUCAGACUCAGAGCUCCCCCAUUAAGAUGACAUCAGGUAGUGACUGACACAUUUCUCUGUUUCUGAAUCUUACAUAGCACAUUCUAACAUGCCACCUUUAUUUUUAUGGUGCUUGCUGUCUGUUUUCUCUCCUUCAAAUGCAAGAGCAUGGGAGAUAGGACUCAUACAAAACAAUGAAGAAUUUGUAAUAUUAUCACCCGUGUGUUCACCAAUCUUCCCGUGGCCUCUUCUGUGUUUAUUGCUACAUCAUAUAUGUCACCUAUGACAGUGCCACGGGUGCAUAUAGAACAUCAAAACUCAUCCAAGCACAUAGUUAAAAAAGGCCACUUGUUGUAUGUCAUUAAUACCUCAAUGGAGCUGAAAAUAAACAUUUAAAACAGUCUCUUCUAAUGCCUCCAUCAAAAACUAUCAUGAGAGCCUAAUGGUCAGUUUAACUGGUUAUUUUGGGUCUCAUUUUUCGUUUUUCUAUGACAGCAUCAGGAUUUUACCACAAGUCAUCAAGACUGCAUAUGUUAUCUUGGUGCUAACAAAGUAUUGUUAUGCUUCUCAUGGUCACAUUUUAAGAUUUUAUUUCAGGAACUAUGUUGGUUGGUGCUCCUAUUGUGACAAAAAUACCCAACAAAAGCAACUUAGGGAAGAGAGAUUUUAGUUUAGCUCACAGCUUGAGAAUACAGUCCAUCAGAGCCAGAAACCCUGGGAACAGAAGUGUUAGGCAGCUAGGCAUACUGUAUCCACAAUCAAAAAGGGGAGCGAGAUGAAUGUUGGUGCUUAGCUUGUUUUUCCCUUAUUUAAUUCAGGUCCUCAGUCCAGAGAGACACCGCCCACAUUUAGAGUGGGUCUACAUGCCUCAACUAACCUAAUCUGGAAAAAUCAUCACAAACAUUCCAAAGGUUCAUUUCCAUAGUAACUAUCACUCCCACGAAGUUAUUAAUCACAAUUAGCCAUCAAGAACCGGAAAAGACCAUAAACAUGUCUGGCAGACGUUUGUAAUUUGCUUCUCUUUUCCAUUUUUGCUGCAUUUUGUCUAGCUUAGAGUCAGAGUCUCCUGUAACUGAGGGUGAGUGUAAACUUUCCCUCUUUCUUUCUCUGUCUCCUUAGUGCUGGGAUCAUAGGCAUGGAUCAUCAUACUCUAAUUCUGUUCUAUUCAUGGAAGCCAGGGCUUUAUGCAUACUAGACAAGCACACCACCAUCUGAGCUACACACCAAGCACUUGACUUGAUUUUUGAUACCAGGUGUCAUGUAUCUCAGGCUGGCCUGGAGCUCCCUAAAUAGCCCAGAAAGACUUUGGACUUCUAAUCCUACUGCUUCAGUCUUCUAAGGCAGUGGUUCUCAACCUUCCUAAUGCCACAGCACUUUAAUACAGUUCUUCAUGUUUUGGUGGCCCCAAACCAUAACAUUAUUUUGUUGCCACUUCAUAUCUUUCAUUUUGCUAUUAUUAGGAAUUGUGAUGUAUAGCCCAAAGUGGUGGUGACCCACAAAUUGAGAACCACUGUUCUCAGUGCUGGAAUUACGGACAUGUACCACUGUGCCCAGUUUAUAUGGAUUUGAGGAUUGAACAAAGAGUUUUGUGUAUGCUGAACAUGUACUCUACCAACAAAACUACACCCCUAGCCCUUGUUACACUGCUGUUCUUUUUAGACAAAUCCUUUUCAAUUUCCUUUGAUCUUUUCUCAAUUCUGGUACUGUCUUCCGGUUUCUUGGCAUUUUUUUUUCUUUAGGUUCCCCACCCCAGCCCACAGAGGGUAUAGUCAACUAUGUUUGGGACAUUUUCAUGUACAUUGGGGUUUAUUAGUUCAUGUUCAUUCAUACCUUGGCCCAUUCAUGAACUGGAAUGCUAGUAAACUCUCUCUCUCUCUCUCUCUCUCUCUCUCUCUCUCUCUCUCUCUCUCUCGUGCGUGCACGUCACACACACACACACACACACACACACACACACACACACACACACUCACACACGAUCAUGCUUGGGUCAUGUUUUUAUCCUCUUUCUUCUCCCUUACCUUUCUUUUCUUGGCACAUAGUCUUGAACUUGAAAGUAGCGGAGAGAGAGAGUAGCCUUAAAUUUCUGACCCUCUUUCCUCUCCUAUCAAGUGCUGAAGUUAUAGGCUUGUGUCAUCAGCCUUGUUUUUCUGUGAUGCUGAGGAUUAGCCUAGGGAUUUCUGCAUGGUAUGCAGAUGUUCUGCCAACUGAGCUACGUCCUAUCCUUACUUUCAAAAAAUUAUAUGUAAAAUCAUCUUUACCUCCUGAGCCCAGAGACUGUUAAGGGGAAAAUAUAAUCUUUAUACACUAAAGGCCUAGAUAGUGGGUGUGAGUUCUGACUUUGCCUUCUUUUAAACAUCAGGAUUACUGAUUGCUCUUGGAACACCAGUUAAAUGGUGCUAAUAUAAUACCAAUCUACAUUAUGAAAGCAUGGCAAACUAUAUUUUACUAAAAUCACAAAUGACUUGUGCUUUACCUUCGGCAAUGGUUCCUUGAAAACUCCAUGGUAACAUGAGAUCGACUCUUUGCCUUUGGGAAGAUCUUGGUUCUAUUUUAUUUUGACUGUAUUUUCUGUAGCCUGCAACUUAUUUUCAAUAUUUCAGUGUUUCAAAUGAAC